rnacentral:rRNA from 1 species
GUGAGGAAUUUUCCGCAAUGGGCGAAAGCCUGACGGAGCAAUGCCGCGUGAAGGAUGAAGGCCUAUGGGUUGUAAACUUCUUUUCUCAGAAAAGAAUUAUGACGGUAUCUGAGGAAUAAGCAUCGGCUAACACUGUGCCAGCAGCCGCGGUAAGACAGAGGAUGCAAGCGUUAUCCGGAAUGAUUGGGCGUAAAGCGUCUGUAGGUUGUUUAAAAAGUAUUCUGUCAAAGAUUAGGGCUUAACCCUAGAUAGGCAGAAUAAACUUUUAAGCUAGAGUUUGGUAGAGGCAGAGGGAAUUCCCGGUGGAGCGGUGAAAUGCGUAGAUAUCGGGAGGAACACCAAAGGCGAAGGCACUCUGCUGGGCCAAUACUAACACUGAGAGACGAAAGAGAGGGGAGCAAAUGGGAUUAGAUACCCGGGUAGUCC